rfam:Triticum aestivum genome assembly, contig: Triticum_aestivum_CS42_TGACv1_scaffold_651927_T_7AS-0.027637_1AL-0.016885
AUUCUACUCCCUCCGUUGCACAAUACAUGCCUUCUAUUUGUCAAAAUAUAUAUGUAUCUAGACAUGUCUUAGUAUAUAGGUACAUCCAUUUUUGGACAAAUGGAAGUCAAAUAUUUUGGAACGAAGGGAGUACACA